rnacentral:rRNA from 1 species
UGAAGGCCUUCGGGUUGUAAACUGCUGUCACGCUAUAGGAAUGGCCUGUCGUUAAUAGCGGCAGGGUUGACCAAAGCGAGAGGAAGCACCGGCUAACUCCGUGCCAGCAGCCGCGGUAAGACGGAGGGUGCAAACGUUGUUCGGAAUUACUGGGCAUAAAGAGCGCGUAGGCGGUCUGCUAAGUCUGGCGUGAAAGCCCCCGGCUCAACCGGGGAACUGCGCUGGAUACUGGCGGGCUCGAGGACGGUAGGGGUGAGCGGAACUCCAGGUGGAGCGGUGAAAUGCGUAGAUAUCUGGAGGAACACCGGUGGCGAAAGCGGCUCACUGGGCCGUCUCUGACGCUGAGGCGCGAAAGCUAGGGUAGCAAACGGGAUUAGAUACCCCGGUAGUCCUAGCCGUAAACGAUGGGCACUAGGUAGGGGAGUUGCCUAUGGGCUUCUCUGCCGGAGCUAAUGUGUUAAGUGCCCCGCCUGGGGAGUACGCUCGCAAGGGUAAAACUCAAAGGAAUUGACGGGGGCUCACACAAGCGGUGGAGCAUGUGGUUCAAUUCGAAGCAACGCGAAGAACCUUACCUGGCCUUGACAUGCACGGAUUAGCUCCCUGAAAGGGGAGUAACAGCUCUUCGGAGUCGGAACGUGUGCAGGUGUUGCAUGGCUGUCGUCAGCUCGUGUCGUGAGAUGUUGGGUUAAGUCCCGUAACGAGCGAAACCCUUAUCGUUAG